rnacentral:rRNA from 1 species
GACGAAGCGAAAUAUGGCGGACGGCGGAUGCCUAGGCUUCCGGAGGCGAUGAAGGACGCGGCAAGCUGCGAAAAUGCGCGAGGAGCUGCAAGCGGGCUUAGAUACGCGCGUGUCCGAAUGGGGCAACCCGGCCGGCAGGCGGCCGGCCACCGGCUAUAAGCCGGGGCGAACGCGGGGAACCGAAACAUCCCAGUACCCGCAGGAGGAGAAAGAAAAGAUCGAUGGCCCGAGUAGCGGCGAGCGAAAAGGCCGGAGCCCAAACCGAGUGUGUCGAGGCACAUUCGGGGUAGUAGGGCUGCGCCGAGAUUACAGGUUGAGGGAACCGGAACGGCAUGGAAAUGCCGGGCGAAGAGGGUGACACCCCCGUACGGGCAACCGGGGCCUGUAAGGAGCAGUACCUGAGUAGGGCGGGACACGAGGAAUCCUGUCCGAAGCAGCGGGGACCGACCCGCAAGGCUAAAUACUCCCGGAAGACCGACAGUGGACCAGUACCGUGAGGGAAAGGUGGGAAGCACCCCGGAAGGGGAGUGAAAUAGAACCUGAAACCGUCCGUCAGCGAGCGGUCGGAGCCCGGAAGGGCGACGGCGUGCCUUUUGCAUAAUGAGCCUACGAGUUGCGCCUGAGCGGCGAGGAUAAGCGCUUGAGGCGCGGAUCCGGAGCGAGAGCGAGUCUGAAUAGGGCGUAAGAGUCGCUUGGGGCAGACGCGAAACCCGGUGAUCUACCCUUGGCCAGGCUGAAGGGGCCGUAACAGGUCCUGGAGGGCCGCACCGGUUUACGUUGAAAAGUGCUCGGAUGAGCUGAGGGUAGGGGUGAAAGGCCAAUCAAACCGGGAGAUAGCUCGUACUCCCCGAAAUGCCUUUAGGGGCAGCCUCGCCAUAGCACCGCGGAGGUAGAGCUACUGACAGGAUGCGAGGGCUUCACCGCCUGUCAAAUCCUGACAAACUCCGAAUGCCGCGGGAGUGAUUGGCGGGAGUGAGUCGUCGGGUGCUAAUGUCCGGCGGCGAGAGGGAAAGAGCCCAGACCCACGUCCGAGGCCCCUAAGCCCAUGCUAAGUUGCGAGAACGAGGUGGCACCGCAGAGACAGCCAGGAUGUUAGCUUGGAAGCAGCUAUUCAUUCAAAGAGUGCGUAACAGCUCACUGGUCGAGCGGAGCCGCGUGGAUGAUGAACGGGCAUAAAGCAUGGCGCCGAAGACUGGGGCUGAUUCGUGAGAAUCAGCGGUAGGGGAGCAUUCCGGACAGCGGCGAAGGCGUCCCGGGAGGGAUUCUGGAGCGUCCGGAAAAGAAAAUGUAGGCAUGAGUAACGACAACGCGCGGGAGCAACGCGCGCACCGCAAGCCCAAGGUUUCCUGAACAACGUUAAUCGGAUCAGGGUAAGUCGGGGACUAAUCGGCACCCGAGAGGGGGACGAGAUGUAAAACCGGUCAAGAUUCCGGUACCCGCAUGCCGGGCCGAGCGCCGACCCGGGGAUGGAACUGCCGCCCACGGACGGAAUAGUGGGUUGAAGGCCGUAGGGGAUACCUGAAAGCCGACAGUACCGCGAGUCCACGGACGAGCGGACAGCGCAGGGAAAUGUACCGGCAAGAAAAGGCGCGAGGCGUUUAGAGGCAUGGGGCCCGUACCGUAAACCGACACAGGUGGGCGAGGAGAGUAUCCUGAGGUGCUCGAGUGAAUCACGGCCAAGGAACUAGGCAAAUUGACCCCGUAACUUAGGGAUAAGGGGACCCGGGAGACCGGGCGCAGAGAAAUGGCCCAGGCGACUGUUUACCAAAAACACAUGGCUAUGCGAAAUCGAAAGAUGACGAGUAUGGCCUGACACCUGCCCGGUGCCGGAAGGUUAAGAGG